rnacentral:rRNA from 1 species
GAUGAACGCUGGCGGCGUGCCUAAUACAUGCAAGUCGAGCGAACAGAUGAGGAGCUUGCUCCUCUGACGUUAGCGGCGGACGGGUGAGUAACACGUGGAUAACCUACCUAUAAGACUGGGAUAACUUCGGGAAACCGGAGCUAAUACCGGAUAAUAUAUUGAACCGCAUGGUUCAAUAGUGAAAGACGGUUUUGCUGUCACUUAUAGAGGGAUCCGAGCCGCAUUAGCUAGUUGGUAAGGUAACGGCUUACCAAGGCAACGAUGCGUAGCCGACCUGAGAGGGUGAUCGGCCACACUGGAACUGAGACACGGUCCAGACUCCUACGGGAGGCAGCAGUAGGGAAUCUUCCGCAAUGGGCGAAAGCCUGACGGAGCAACGCCGCGUGAGUGAUGAAGGUCUUCGGAUCGUAAAACUCUGUUAUUAGGGAAGAACAAAUGUGUAAGUAACUAUGCACGUCUUGACGGUACCUAAUCAGAAAGCCACGGCUAACUACGUG